rnacentral:rRNA from 1 species
UACGUAGGGUGCAAGCGUUAAUCGGAAUUAUUGGGCGUAAAGGGCGCGUAGGCGGCCUGACAAGUGGAAGGUGAAAUCCCUCGGCUUAACCGAGGAACUGCCCUCCAAACUGUCUGGCUUGAGACCGGGAGAGGUGAGUGGAAUUCCCAGUGUAGCGGUGAAAUGCGUAGAUAUUGGGAGGAACACCAGUGGCGAAGGCGGCUCACUGGACCGGUACUGACGCUGAUGCGCGAAAGCGUGGGGAGCAAACGGG